rnacentral:rRNA from 1 species
GCUAAACGCGAAGAACCUUACCAAGGCUUGACAUGGAUUUCUAAGCGCGUGAAAACGCGUGACCCUUCGGGGGACUUCCACAGGUGCUGCAUGGCCGUCGUCAGCUCGUGUCGUGAGAUGUUGGGUUAAGCCCCGCAACGAGCGCAACCCUUGUGACUAGUUGCCAGCGGGUCAUGCCGGGAACUCUAGUCAGACUGCCCAGAUCAACUGGGAGGAAGGUGGGGACGACGUCAGGUCAGUAUGGCCCUUACGCCUUGGGCUGCACACGUACUACAAUGCCCAGCACAAUGAGAACCGAUGCCGCGAGGUGGAGGAAAUCUGGAAAACUGGGCCCAGUUCGGAUUGGAGGCUGCAACUCGCCUCCAUGAAGUUGGAAUCGCUAGUAAUGGCGCAUCAUCCACGGCGCCGUGAAUACGUUCCCGGGUCUUGUACACACCG